AAAGGAAUUGACGGGGCCCCGCACAAGCAGCGGAGCGUGUGGUUUAAUUCGAUGUUACACGAAGAACCUUACCUGGGUUUGACAUGUACGUGGUAGGGAAGCGAAAGCGGACCGACCCUUCGGGGAGCGUACACAGGUGCUGCAUGGCUGUCGUCAGCUCGUGCCGUGAGGUGUCGGGUUAAGUCCCGUAACGAGCGCAACCCCUGUCCUUAGUUACAAGUGUCUAAGGGGACUGCCGGCGGUAAGCCGGAGGAAGGUGGGGAUGACGUCAAGUCAGCAUGGCCCUUAUGUCCAGGGCUACACACACGCUACAAUGGCCAGUACAACGGGCAGCGAAACCGCGAGGUGGAGCGAAUCUCAGCAAAGCUGGUCAUAGUUCGGAUUGCAGGCUGCAACUCGCCUGCAUGAAGCUGGAGUUGCUAGUAACCGCGCGUCAGCUAUAGUGCGGUGAAUACGUUCCCGGGGCUUGUACACACCGCCCGU
rnacentral:rRNA from 1 species